GCAUAUUUCAUUCGCGCCUGUAUCUUGCUGAACCGUUGCCAUUAUGGCCUACGAUCCGGUUGAGCAAAAUUUCAGGUGUGUGAGAAAUUUGUUUAGCA
rnacentral:pre_miRNA from 13 species